GGACUACACGGGUUUCUAAUCCUGUUUGCUCCCCACGCUUUCGCGCCUCAGCGUCAGUUACAGCCCAGAAAGUCGCCUUCGCCACUGGUGUUCCUCCACAUAUCUACGCAUUUCACCGCUACACGUGGAAUUCCACUUUCCUCUUCUGUACUCAAGUCAACCAGUUUCCAGUGCGAACUGAGGUUGAGCCUCAGCCUUAAACACCAGACUUAAUUGACCGCCUGCGCGCGCUUUACGCCCAAUAAUUCCGGACAACGCUUGCCCCCUACGUAUUACCGCGGCUGCUGGCAC
rnacentral:rRNA from 1 species